GAUGAACGCUGACAGAAUGCUUAACACAUGCAAGUCGAUGGGGAAGUGGUGCUUGCACCAUGGUAACCAUGGCGGACGGGUGAGUAACGCGUAAGGAACUUACCUGCGGGACCGGGAUAACAGCACGAAACUGCUGACAAGACCGGAUAAGGUCAUUAAGCUGCAUAGCUUAGUGAUGAAAGGAGACGCCUGCGGAGAGCCUUGCGUCCUAUUAGCUAGUUGGAGGGGUAACGGCCCACCAAGGCGAAGAUAGGUAGCCGGCCUGAGAGGGUGGACGGCCACAAGGGGACUGAGAUACGGCCCUUACUCCUACGGGAGGCAGCAGUGGGGAAUAUUGGACAAUGGGGGCAACCCUGAUCCAGCAAUUCUGUGUGCACGAAGACGGUUUUCGGAUUGUAAAGUGCUUUCAGCAGGGAAGAAGGAAGUGACGGUACCUGCAGAAGAAGCGACGGCUAAAUACGUG
rnacentral:rRNA from 1 species